UAGGCUCCUAUGGAGUCACUGCUUUGCCCUGGGUUCCAGUGCACAUGAAACCUUGUGUGCACCUUCCAAGAGUGGAGUCUCUGUUUCUUCCAGUCCUGUGGAGCUCCUCCACUCAAGCCCAACUGGCCUUCAAAGACAAAUGCUCUGGGGGCUCCUCCUCCCAAUGCCAGACCCUCAGGUUGGGGAGCCUGACAUGGGGCUCAGAACUUUCACUCCUGUGGGAGAACCUGUGAUGUAAUUAUAUUUGUUUGUGGGUCACCCACCUGAUGGGUAUGAGAUUUGAUUAUAUCAUGAAAGUGCCCCUCCUACCGCCUCGCUGUGGCUUCUUGUCUUUGGAUGUAGAAUAUAGUUUUUGGUAGGUUUGAGUCUUUUUUUGUCGAUGGCUAUUCAGCAGUUAGUUGUGAUUUUUGUUUGUAAGUGAGAGGACGUGAGCUCAAGUCCUACUCUGCCAUCUUGUCUCCUCACUUUAUCACUGAUUUUAAGCAACUUGGUUAUAAUGUGCCUUUGUACAAUUCUGUGGCAUUAAGUACAUUCACAUUGUUCUGCAACCAUCACUACUACCUAUUUCUUUGCUUCUUUAAAUUCAUUAAACAUCUUGCGUCUUUGAGUUUAUAGCUUUCAACCAAAUUCAGAAAAAUUUCAGCCAUUCUUUCUUCAGAUAUUUUUUUGUUUCUCCAUUUUCCCUGUCUUUGGGGGAUUAAAUUUACGCAUAUAUUAGGCCACAUGAAGUUGCCCCAUAGCUUAUUGGUACUCUUUACACUUCUUUGGAUUCUUUUGUCUGUGUUCAGAUGGAUAGUUUCUAUAUGUCUCCAAGUUCACUAAAUCUUCUGUAGUCUGAUUUGUUGUUAAUUCCUCCAGUGUAGUUUUCAUUUGGGACAUUGUAAUUUUUAUCUCUGGAAGUUAAAUUUGGGUUUUUAUAUUUCUCAGGUCGCUACUUAAUAUGUAGUUAUAAUAACUGUUUUAAUUCCCCUGGUCACUAAUUUAUCAUUUGUGUACUUUCUGGGUCUUCUUGUGUUGAUUUUUUGCAUGUUUGGUGGUUUUGAUUGGAUGCCAGAUAUUCUGAAUUCUACCUAUUUUGGUGCUGGGUAUUUUUGUAUUCCUAUAAAUAUUGAGCUUUGUUUCUCAUACUUAGUUACUUGGAAACAGUUUGAUCCUUCUAGAUCAAACUUGUAAGCUUUAUUAAGUGGGACCUGAGCAGUGAGUAGCCUAGGGCUAAUUUUGCUCCACUACUGAAGCAAAACUGAUGCCCCAUAAACUGUGUUUUCCACACUGGCUGUUGGGAAAAGGAACUAUUUCCUGUUCUUUGACAGCUCUAAUCCUUUUGGCUGGUUCUUUCCCCAGCCUCUGGCAGUUUCCUUACAUGCAUGGGAUUAUCAGUACUCAGUGAACACUUGAGUGGGAUUCUCAGCAGAUCUAUAGAGCUUGCUCUCUGUAUAACUCUUUCCUUUUUGAUACCCUGCCCUGUAAACUAGCUGCUUUGGUCUCCUUGGAUGCCUCGACUUCUCCUCUCAGGGAGACUGUUGGGUUCCACCCUCAGUUUCUCCUCCCUUUGCUGCUGACAACUCUGCCCCAACUGUAAGCAGAGGCAGUGGUAGGGCCCACCACAUUUGUUUCUCUUCUCUCAGGUCUCUGUCCUUCAUGCCUGUUGUCUGAUGGUAAUUUGUCAGGUUUUUUGUAUAUUUUAGAAGGGAGGGUAAGGUUUGGUUUCUGUUUAUCUAUGUUAGCUAGAAUUAGAAGUGUCUUGAAAGCAUUACUUUCUAGAUUGUUAUAAAAUCUGAUGCCAUUCUGAUUUGCAUGUAACCGGUUUUUUCCCUUGAAGCUUUUUAGGGUGUCUAUCUGGUGUUUUGAAAUUUCCCCAUGUUGUAUGUUGGUAUAGAUUCUUUGGAAACUCAUGUCCUCUUGAGUUUUUCAGAAUUUUCUUGUGUUAUUAUUUUGGUAAUUUCUCUCCUGUGUUCUUUCUUUGCAGAUUUCCAAAUUAUAGUUGGAUGUCGGCCCUCUUAGACCAUUUUUUAUUUUCCUUCAUAUUCUCUUUUGGUUUUUUUGCCCUACUUUAUGGGAGAUUUCCUCAAUUUUAUCCUUUUAUCAUAUUAUUUCUGAUAUUAAUUUCCAAAUUAAUGUUUUUCAUCUUCUCUCACAGCCUUUUUCUCCCCUUACUUAAUGGACACAAUAUUUACACUUUGCGCCUUAGUUGUUUCUUGGAUAUCUUGUUCUACUCCCUGUACUAUUUCCUGGGAGUUGUUUAUUUUUGUUUUGGUAUUUUUAUGCUGUACUUUUCCACAAACCUCUGAUGUUUCUGGGCUAUCUGUAUAUACUUAAGAGUGAGGCACUUGAAGGUGAUGAGCUCUCUUCACCAUUCACUUUCACUGAACAGUAGGCUGGCAUUUUCACUGGAGAGCCCAGGCUGGCAGGAUCUGUAGGUUUUUCCUCUGGGUUAGUUCAGGGCAGGGUCUUCCAGCCUGCUGUAGGAGCCUGGGGUGGGGUGGGGGCAGGGGCUGGAGCCCUGAGCAUCUCAGGUAGUUUCUCCAGAAUAUAACUUCCAGCCUUCUGCAGGGUGGUGGGGACUUGAAUUUCUGCUUCCUACAUGCAUUUCCAGUCCUUGUUUUUCCCUGGCACAUGAGGCCUCCAAUUCCUUCCCUUUACAAUGUGUUUUGGUUCUGUGUGUAUGUGGCGGGGGGUGGGGGGGGUAUGUGUAGGAUGGACACGGGACAGCGAGAAGAGGGCAGAGCACUGAUUUUGGAUAGUAGUUCUGAGCUAAGUCUUUACUGCUUCCCUGUACUUCCUUUUGCACAAAGUAGUUCUAAAUCCACUGCCUGUGCCCAAAGGAGGACACGUGGUCUAAGAGAGGCCCAGACUCUUCCAGUGCAACAGUCCACUUGAGGAGAAUCCUCACACUGGCACAAGAGUACAGACCAGCUCCAGGACAAGGAGUGGGCAGAACCUGCAGGCUUCUUGGCGACCCUCAAGUAUCAGAGCCAUCCAAGCAUGUUGGCCUUCGAAUCUUCUCAGCAAGAGUAGAUGAUCACACAACUCUUAAGGUAAAUCAAAAUUAGAUGAAGGUUAUUUAUUGGUGUGACUUUUCCUGUCAUGAGCUUCUUUUACACAGCCAUGGUGUAAAUAGCAUCAAAUUGAAUGAAAAGUUUGUUAGAUGCAACCAUAAAUAAUUAUAAUAAAUAUACAUCAAGUAACUUUACAGCACACAUUUUUUUUAGGGCCAAGGUUUGGAUCUGUCUGGACCUCAAUGUGCUCUCUGGGAGAAGCAGUCGUGUUAGCAGCAGGUAUUUUACUCACAGCUGUCAUCUAGUCAAGUGAUGGGCCAACAGAAGCUUUCCAAACCCCUCUUGGGGAGGUAGCUGACAAUUCUGAGUCCAUUCAAGGGAUGGAAAGGAUGGGGGCGGGGGGGGGGGACCAAGAUGGAAAAAUACAGGGAGGAAAAACCACUUCUAGUAAAUCCAAAGGCUCUUUCAUUAUGCAGAAAUGAAAUAAGAGGAUCCUUGUUGUCAGGACUACAUCCUGGCGUGACCCGCGCCCCCCCCGCCCCCAGUCAAGGGGGCUGUGGCCCCCAGGAGGCAGUGGCCUACCGUAUUCCUUCCAAUUAGGGAAACUGCUUGCAGGCACCUCCAGACAUGACUGAUCCUGCAUCAAAUGUAACUGAUGCAACCGGAACAAUUCAUCCAGGUUUAUCCUUUCCUUAGGUCGGGGAAUCUUUUCUAUAAUGGUCCUUAAUUCAUUUCCUAAGAAGAACACGGAGGAGGUGGAUGCGAAUGCCUCUAACUCUAAAAUCCACACACCUUUCCAACAGGCCAGGGCCACAGCAGAGAAGGGAGGAGCAAAUCCUCUCUCACCAGCAUUCACGCUCCAAAACCUUCUAGACAGCACUCACUCAGAACUUCCAAUAUUCACAAUAUUAUACAAUAAAUACAGCGAUGUGAUUCUGUGAGAACUGGCAAGGCCCAAAAUGACAGUGUCCAGCAAGAUGGCAUAUGCUGCUCUCGAACAAAGUACCAGCGGACAAAGACCUACUCAGGGCACAAAUGCACUGGGGCCGCAGGUGGGCUGCAGCAGCUCAGCCCUGGCACACACUCACAUGGGGUGGGGAGGGGGUGCCGCGUGGGCCCGGCCAGAGGGGCAGAAGGACCCUGGUGUCUCCAUCUGGACUUGAAGGUCUUAGUCACUGCAGUAGGCCCUGAAUUGAGCAGAGCACCUCAGACAGCUCUUUUUAAAAUGGGGUGUAGCCUUUCCUCUGCUCCUCACAUCACAAAUACCGUAGUGAGGAAGGGACGUUUCUGAGUACAAAAGUGGGGCAGGCUUGAGUCAUGUGCUUUCCUGUUCUGAGCCUCAGAAAAAGGCCCCCAACUUGAGCACUGUCCCUCCAGCUCCAGGGGUCCUCUCAACUCCUGAGCUGGGACGCACCUGGCCUGGCUCUGCGUACUAAGGUCAGGGAGGAACCCUUUGGUCUUCUAAUCCUGGGCAGCACUCAGUGGGAAACUGUCGGACCGGGGCCCAGAAGAGUCGGACGGCAGAGAGGGCUGUCUAGGUGGGAAGGGACGGGGGAACCACUGUGGGCUUUUCUUCAGGAAAACCCAGACCAUGGACAAGGGUCUAAAGCCGGAAGAUUAACACGUAAAGCUCCCUGUGUGUGUCUCCCAGGUUUGGGUAACUGGCCCAACCAUUUCAAGAUGGAAGGAGGCUUGCAGGAGCCACGUCCAGGAGAAACUCCAGCUCAAGGCGGAGGGGCAGGGCUGGCCACACACUUGUCUGUGAAGACGCCCUGCAGAAAGAACAGGUGCUCUGUGGGCCAAGGGCAUCUCACUACCAGCUUCCUGCUGGGUGGUUCUAUGAUGUGGAACCAACUGGGGCCUCACAGCCUCAGAACCUGGUGGCCAUGAAGGAACAUGUCCAGGAAGAUCAAAUGAGACAGGAGCUGUCUGGGAACUAAACUAUCCUACAAACAUACCACAAAUAGGUAGCAAAAGAACCAACCCAUCACAAAACGUACAAAUACAUAAGGUUAAGUCUUCCAGGAAGUCCUGGAAUGUGGACAAAGGUUCGGAAAAGCAAAAUGUUGCCAACUCCUCACGCAGGGCCCCGGAGGGAUGUGCUCGCAGUGGCAGGCUUCCUAAGCCAGCAGAGCGGUGCCUUGGUGACAGCCUAACUCGGGCUCCCUCCCCUCAGCCACUCAGGGGGUCUUCGCGAUAGUGAAUGGCACAACGAAGUUUCUCCAGCAUGAUUUCCAGAGAGGAGUACUGGGGAAGCUUGAUCAUGAACAUGCAGGUCUCCACUCGGAUGUAGCGAGAGUCUGGGGAACCUGUAGGAGAGACAUCGGGCCAGCGUUAGAGUGCGGGACUGGAUCCCAGGGAGGCCUGGCUGGACCCUCUGCCUCCAGGUUUGCCUCUCUGGGCUGCUCCAAGUCAACCCCAAGGCCCAGUCGGGGGGAUGAGGGCCUGGGAGGCUGGAUUCUGGAGGAGGAAAGGGCAGAUACACAGCUGCUGUACAGCACAGGUACCAAAUGGCUGACCCAUGACAGAAUCUGACCGCAGGCAGGUUUGUCUGGCCGGCAAAGAGUUUUGAUUUUUUAAAUUAAUUUUGCUGCAUUUAAAAGUUGGAAGAUUAAAACACUUCUGGAUUUUAAGCUUUUAAAAAUUUCAGAAGACACGUCAGCGUCGGGCCUAUACUGCCACUUGGCGAAGGUCAGGUUUGGGAAGCACAUGGCCCCAAGCCCACCCCACCACCCCUGGCCUCUCUCAUUUACAUUUGGGCCUUGGUGUUCGGGGUCCCUCUCCAUUGUUCUUCCCCCCUCAUGCAGGGCCUAGCAGCCCCAGCUCCAAACGGGGCCCAUGUGUCCCUACCUGGAACAUGACCAGGGGAGGCCAGUACCUGCUGUGCCAUCCGGGGGGGCGAUCUUCAUGGGGUAUGGGGGCACAUGGGCUGUGUCGGGGCCCCCGUCUUUGCAGGGGCAGGUGAACGGGAUGCGCUCUUGGUUGCAGGCGAACUUGAUGAACUUGCACAGCUCCUCCUGGGCAAACAUCUCCAGUGCCCCCCAGAAGAACUCGAUGUGCUGGUCCGUCUCCAUCAGGCCCACCUGGUACAUGGUGUGGGCCUGGGGAAGAAAGGUCGCAGACGUGAGCAGGCCUGGGCUUCUAACCCAGUGCCCCCCGACAAGGCUGGGCCCAAUCCCGGGGCAGGGUGCAGCAGGGAAUCGAUGGCUGCAGGACACAGGGAGGUUACAAUGAUGACAAGGACCGCAAAGGCACACUGUCUGUGUGACUGUGGCCUACGCGCUAGGCCCGACAACAGGGGUUCUCCAUACAUUACCCCACUGACCCCGCCGGGCAGGUCUUGUCACUCUUCCCAUUACAGGUGAAGUCACUUGGGCAAGGUCUCCCAGCUGGCAUGGGCAAAAGCGGGCCAGGCUGAACAGUGGAGGGGGCUUCCCCUCAGGCUGGUGGCUUAAUUCAUGGGCUCGGGAGGCAGGGGAUCUGCCACUUCCUGGCUGGGCGACCUUGGGUAAGUGACCUGUCUUAGCUUCAGUUUACACAGCAAUGAGACAGGGGUGAGCACAGCUCCUCUCACAUGUGAGGAGGACAGAGUGCUGGGGCCCAGGAAGUACUAAGACAUGACAGGCCACUGCCAACAUGCCUGUCAGCCCAGCCGGCCCAGCCACCGACCUUCAGGAACUCGAGGUUGAUGUAAGGGAGGCCGCACGUCCGCAGCUCCAUCUCCAGCGGGCUGAGCGUGGUGAGCAGCUGCAGGGGGAUGAUGGCGCCCAGGCCCGCGCGCACGGCUGUCACACACUCGACGUUCUGCAGCUCCCGCAGCCGCAGGCUCCGGAUGGCUGCUGCGUAGAUGUCCUUGUUCUCCCACCUGCGGGGGUCGUGGGUGAGAGGCGACGCUCAGGAGGCUGCUCCGGGGCCUGGGGGCCACACCCGCGCGGGCAGAGGCCCCCAGGCUGUCACCCGGAUUUCCCAGGCCCGGCAGCUCAGUGAACUCCUCUCCUGCUCUGGGUGUCACCCGCCCCAGACCUGCUGUUUCUGAAUAAAGUCCUUCCACUGAAGAUACUCCACCAUCUUUCCUGGCGCCCACCGUCCUGCCUCACACCCUCCCCCCAGUGGAAGCCGCCGGUCCCCUGACCUAGGCCCCCACGCACUCACGCCACAGGGAUGUGCCGGCCGCGGCUGCACAGCUCCACCUCCUCGCCCGCCAUGGUCAGGUAGGUGAACCGGCAGCAGGGCUUACUGGGCCCGUCGGGGCUCUCGAUGGCCAGGUGCUGGGAGGCAAUCUCGGCGCACAGGGCCUCCAGCUCGCUCUCGUCGUUGAUCUGGAGGGAGGCACGGCAGGGCGGGGCUGACUGCCGCCCUGCUCCCCAGGCCCUCAGAAGAGGGAACCCCUUCCCCAGUUGGGCAGAUGUCGGUCAUUGUUCGGGUGGGGGCUACUGUGGCCUGGCCUGCCAGCCUUGCCAUCAGUUCAGUGUUAGGCACGUGACCGAGGCCUCGCCAGUGAGACCCAAAUUACAGUUGCCCUCUUUCACUGGUGUGGACACGGCUGAAGGCGGUGCACCUCGUGCUGCUGGGGCCAUCUUGAGCUCACUCACUGACGACAUCAUUGGAGCACCUGGAUUCAACCCUGUCUGAAGCCAAUCUAUAUCUGUACUUUUAGUUUUAAGAUCAAAUCACUAAAAAAAAUUUCUUUCCUAA